CUUCUGGUUACGGGGCCGUAGCUCAGCUGGGAGAGCGCGUGCUUUGCAAGCAUGAGGUCGUCGGUUCGAUCCCGUCUGGCUCCACCAGAUGGUUUGAUCACCGAGAUCUUGACCGUCGUCCGCGAAACAUCACUUCGCAUCCUGCUAGUCUGGAUAGACAGCAGUUUGCGUGUUUUCUGACAUCGUAAAGAGGAGAUCGAUCCGAGUUGGGUCGUGCAGCAUAUCGUUGCGCGAGCCUUCAUUAUCUCCGGAUCAUUUCGGCGCUCGCUUCCAGCCGUGAGGUUGGAUGCGGGUUGUAAAUGAUCCUUUUAGCGAAGCUUGACCGCCUCGCUAUCGGAACGAUCUUACGAAGCAAGCUGGUCUUUCUAGUCAAUGUCCGGCUGCGGAUAGCGUUCAUCGAGGGCGCGUGCCGCAAGGCAAUUCUGCAGACAACAUUCUGCCGAGUGUGUGGACAUUGAUAAUGAGAGCAAUCAAGUGCCUUAAGGGUGUUCGGUGGAUGCCUUGGCGCUGAGAGGCGAUGAAGGACGUGCUACGCUGCGAUAAGCCGUGGGGAGCUGCGAAGAAGCUUUGAUCCGCGGAUUUCCGAA
rnacentral:misc_RNA from 1 species